CUCUCCAAAUAUAGGGACUUUCCCUUGUUUAAAUUGCAUCUGUUGCCAUUCGAUUAUUAAAGGGGGAGUAGUACAACAUCCAACUAAAGGCUUCAAUGUUAAGUUACAUCAUUUCGCCACGUGUAACACAGAAUGUGUAGUGUACAUGCUGAAAUGCCCAUGUGGUAAAGUAUAUGUUGGGCAGACAUGCAGAGCAAUUAAAGAGAGAAUAAAAGAACAUAGAGGGAAUAUUAAAAAUUUUAAGGCAAAUACAUACACAGACACCCCAGUGUCUCGACAUUUUAACCAAAAUAGACAUAGUAUGUCACAAUUGAAAUGGUUGGUGUUAGAUGUGAUUCAGAGACCACAGAGGGGGGGGAGACAUCAAGAAAUUACUUUUACAAAGGGAAGCCAUAUGGAUAAAGAAACUGUGUGCGCUGGAUCCGUUAGGUCUGAAUGACAAAUGGAGUAUAGCCUGUUUUCUAUAGUAGGGUGAAUUUAAUAAAUCUUCUUUUUUUGACAGAUAGUGCUACCUGAAUAUGAACUGAAAUCUACAGUUAGGGAAAAUACCCGUGCACAGUUCACCCUGGUGUAUAAUGUGGAUGGAUUCAAUUAUAUUUUGAUAUGGACUUUGAUGUGUUAACGAAAACAUGGACUGGAAUUUUGUCGACUGGCUAGGCUGCAAAACCCUCCCAGCAGUAGCUGGUUUGUCCAAUGUGAUGUGUGGGGUGGGGUUUAUACUUGUAUUUAAUGAUGUACCACAGAGCAGUUUUUCACACUUGAUAAAGAGCUUUUAAGCUCGAAACAUGUCGUGUAUUCAAUAAAAGCACCUUGCAGCAGUA